UACGUAGGGUGCAAGCGUUGCCCGGAUUUAUUGGGCGUAAAGGGCGCGUAGGCGGCUCGGCACGUCCGUUGUGAAAUCGCCCGGCUCAACUGGGCGGGGUCAGCGGAUACGGUCGAGCUUGAGCAAGCUAGAGGGCAAUGGAAUUCCCGGUGUAGUGGUGGAAUGCGUAGAGAUGCGGAGGAACACCGAUGGCGAAGGCAGCCUUCUGGGCCAAUACUGACGCUCAUGCACGAAAGCGUGGGGAGCAAACAGG
rnacentral:rRNA from 1 species